ACAUGAUACAGCAACAGCUCCCCGGUCUGUGACAGCUGCGCACAGAUGCAAGAGAUAAACUGCCCUUCUUAUGAUCAAAGAGGUAGAUUUGCUUGCUACUGCUAAUGAUGUGACUACAGGAGAUGACAGCGUUGAUAUAUAUGGACUGGAGUGAGAAUGUAGGUGCCUUUGUGAAGCGAGAAACAAGGUCAAUUUGGGGCUCUUUCUGCAGCAGCUGGAAGUUUGAACAGCACUUGCAACUCUGCACCCUAAGCAGACUGGAGGCUGGAGGAGGCUGUGGUCCAGGGGAGACUCUGUGGAGAGAGGAGGCCCUGCUCCCAGGCUGGAGCAGCCUGUCCUUGGAGGACUGCACCCCGUGGAAGAGUGACUACACUGCAGCAGUUUGGGAGGACUGUCUGCCCAUGGGAGGGACUCUCAGCAGUUUGGGAGGAAUGCUGCUCGUGGAUUGGAACCCUGCUGGGGAAGUUCACAGGGAGCUGUGUCCUGUGGGAGGGACCCCACGGCCUCACAUGGGAAGGAUUUCUCCCCCUGAGCAGCAGAAGAAAACCUGGGGUGAUGAACUGACCAAAACCCCCACGCCCUGUCUCCCUGCCCUGUCAGUGGGAAGGAGGGAGGGGUUGGGGGUAAAAGGUGCUCUUUAAAGGCUUCUUUUACUUCUCAUUGUCAUCUGAUUUUGUUAGCAAUAAACUCACUUUGUACCUCUAAGCUGAGCCUGUUUUGCCCUUGAAGCGUUUUCUCCUGGUCCUUAUCUCAAUUGAUGAACCCUUUGUUAAAUUUUUCUCUUUCCUCUGCCCAGCUGUUGCAGGCCAGGGUGAGCAAGCAGCUCUCUUGGGUGCCUGGCGUUCAGCCAGUGUCAAACCAUGAGAGGUGUUUAUGUCAGUCCUGUGGAUGUCUCUGAAUUCUGGAAGCUAUUAACUCUCUAUGUCAGGAAGGAGGAAGAGUCGUAGGAAACAACACUGGCCUA